GUUGCGAGGGUCAGAGUUCCAGAGAGCGUUCCUAGGCCUGGGACUCCUACAUGUCAACAGAAAAUACAAAUACGCUGAGUGCUUUCAGUGUGUGUACUCUGGAAGAAGUAUCCAAACUCCGUGUCAAUCACACUUACCAUUUUACAUUUGGUUGCACAAUAAAUCAGGAAGACGAAAGAAUCCUUCACCAGAAGCUGAUCUGUCUAAAUGAAAGGCUAAGGCACUUAGCCGUCAGCUGGACUGGAGAAGAAAGGGACCACACCUAGAUGCGUUUCCUGGGCUUUCUAUGUAGAAAUAUUCAGCCAUACUCUCUUAGGGUCGUUUUAAAAUGCCCAACCGGUGGAUUUCUGAAAACUGUUAAACUAAUCAUGAAGAGCAGCAGGAUAAGCUUUAAUAUUCAUUUUGAAGUGGUGCAUUCAGUGGACCGGUAGAUAUUACUUUUCUUUCAUCUGUAAAUUUUAUUGAAAAUAAAUGUAAUAAAAGUCAACAGUUCCGACAUAUAACAAAGACACAUGCUCCAUUAUGUUCAUAGCAGCCUUAUUUAUAAUAGCCAGAAGCUGGAAAGAACCCAGAUGCCCUUCAACAGAGGAAUGGAUACAGAAAAUGUGGUACAUCUACACAAUGGAAUACUACUCAGCUAUCAAAAACAAUGACUUUAUGAAAUUCAUAAGCAAAUGGAUGGAACUGGAAAAUAUCAUCCUGAGUGAGGUAACCCAAUCACAGAAAGACACACAUGGUAGUCUAAAUGCUUGAAUUACCCUAGACACACAGAACACAUGAAACUCAAGAAGGAUGACCAAAAUGUGAAUGCUUCACUCCUUCUUUAAAAGGGGAACAAGAAUAUGCUUGGGAGGGAAUAGGGAGGCAAAGUUUAGAACAGAAGCAGAAGGAACACCCAUUCAGAGCCUGCCCCACAUGUGGCCCAUACAUAUACAGCCACCUAAACUAGAUAAGAUAGAUGAAGCAAAGAAGUACAGGCUGACAGGAACCAGAUGUAGAUCUCUCCUGAGAGACACAGCCAGAAUAUGGCAAAUAUAUAGGCGAAUGCCAGCAGCAAACCACUGAACUGAGAACGGGAAGCCUGUUGAAGGAAUCAGAGAAAGGACUGGAAGAGCUUGAAGGGGCUUGAGACCUCAUAUGAACAACAAUGCCAAGCAACCAGAGCUUCCAGGGACUAAGCCACUACCCAAAGACAAUACCUGAACUGACCUUGGUCUCCAACUGCCUAGUAAGGGCAGCAGUGGAAGGGGAAGCCCUUGGUCCUGCCAAAGCUGGACCCCCAGUGAACGGGAUUGUUGGGGGGAGGGCGGUAAUGGGGGGAGGAUGGGGAGGGGAACACCCAUAUAGAAGGGGAGGGGGAGGGGUUAGGGGGAUGUUUGCCUGGAAACUGGGAAAGGGAAUAACAUUUGAAAUGUAAAUAAGAAAUACCCAAUUUAAUAAAGAUGGAAAAAAAGAAAAAA